rnacentral:tRNA from 1 species
GCCACUGUGGCUUAGCUCGGCAUAGCGACUGAUUCGUAAUCAGUAGGUCGGGGGUUCAAAUCCCCCCAGUGGCUCCA